rnacentral:rRNA from 1 species
UACGUAGGUGACAAGCGUUGUCCGGAUUUACUGGGCGUAAAGAGCGCGCAGGCGGUCGUUCAAGUCGAGUGUGAAAGCCCCCGGCUCAACUGGGGAGGGUCAUUCGAUACUGAUCGACUCGAAGGCAGGAGAGGGAAGUGGAAUUCCUGGUGUAGCGGUGAAAUGCGCAGAUAUCAGGAAGAACACCCGGUGGCGAAGGCGGGCU